ensembl:lncRNA
GUGAGGGCAGAAGAGCGGGGAGAGAGGGAGGGCGGAGAGGCUGAGGAGGCCCUCACAACCCUGAGGCUGUAACUCUCCUCCGACCGGGUCUGCUAACAAAGCGGUCUCUGUUGGGCCUCCGGCAGGAACCAACCACAGUGAACCAGCCAUGGUGGCAUCUUGAUCUUGGGCUUCUGGACUUCAAAACUAUGAGAGAUUGAACCAGGCCCCCUGCAUUGGGAGCGCAGAGUCUUGGCCACUGGACCACCAGGGGAGUCCUCCUCCCCUCGGCAGCUUUUCAACUGAAGAGUAUUAGAGUGACACCUUCUAGAAGCCGAACUCUUUUUUCAUGGAAAGUUCAUUCUGGCCACAGAGCCAGUAGGACUCAAAAGAGACUGCAAAAGCUCAGGCUGGAUGAUGGUUCCUCUGUUCUUAGAUUCCCCAGGGUC